rnacentral:misc_RNA from 1 species
GAAAAGGGCUAAGCAUGUCUUUCACUUAUUCACGGGUAUACUGUUAUUAAAGACAUGACAAAUAAAAUUCCUUUUUGUCUCUUUUCUAAGUUUUUUAUUGGGAGCCUAAAAAAGUCAACUUUUUUUCCUUGUAGUCUUUUGGCUACCACAAUUCUCAAAUUUUUUUCCAUAAUAUCUUAUUUGUAGUAUUAUAUUAAUGAUUGCUGUCACAUUUUUAUUUUAAAUCUUUUUCUAUCCGCUGUUCUACAUCUUAUU